rnacentral:rRNA from 1 species
AUUGAACGCUGGCGGCAGGCCUAACACAUGCAAGUCGAGCGGAUGAAGGGAGCUUGCUCCUGUAUUCAGCGGCGGACGGGUGAGUAAUGCCUAGGAAUCUGCCUGGUAGUGGGGGAUAACGUCCGGAAACGGGCGCUAAUACCGCAUACGUCCUGAGGGAGAAAGUGGGGGAUCUUCAGACCUCACGCUAUCUGCUGACCCUAGGACGGAUUAGCUAGUUGGUGGGGUAAAGGCCUACCAAGGCGACGAUCCGUAACUGGUCUGAGAGGAUGAUCAGUCACACUGGAACUGAGACACGGUCCAGACUCCUACGGGAGGCAGCAGUAGGGAAUAUUGGACAAUGGGCGAAAGCCUGACGGAGCCAUGCCGCGUGUGUGAAGAAGGUCUUCGGAUUGUAAAGCACUUUAAGUUGGGAGGAAGAGAAGUAAGUUAAUACCUUGCUGUUUUGACGGUACCAACAGAAAAAGCACCGGCUAACUUCGUG